rnacentral:rRNA from 1 species
UACGGAAGGCAGCAGUGGGGAAUAUUGCACAAUGGGCGCAAGCCUGAUGCAGCCAUGCCGCGUGUAUGAAGAAGGCCUUCGGGUUGUAAAGUACUUUCAGUCGUGAGGAAGGUGUUAAGGUUAAUAACCUUAGCAAUUGACGUUAGCGACAGAAGAAGCACCGGCUAACUCCGUGCCAGCAGCCGCGGUAAUACGGAGGGUGCGAGCGUUAAUCGGAAUUACUGGACGUAAAGGGCACGCAGGCGGUUAAUUAAGUUGGAUGUGAAAUCCCCGGGCUUAACCUGGGAAUGGCAUUCAAGACUGGUUAGCUAGAGUCUUGUAGAGGGGGUAGAAUUCCAUGUGUAGCGGUGAAAUGCGUAGAGAUGUGGAGGAAUACCGGUGGCGAAGGCGGCCCCUGGACAAAGACUGACGCUCAUGUGCGAAAGCGUGGGGAGCAAACGAGGGAUUAGAUACC